rnacentral:lncRNA from 1 species
UUUUGUCAGUCUCGUCAUCUUUGGGUCAUUUUUCGUACUAAAUCUUGUACUUGGUGUAUUGAGCGGGCACAGUGGCUCACGCCUAUAAUCCCAGCACUUUCGGAGGCCGAGGCAGCUGGACCACCCGAGAUCAGGAGUUUGAGACCAGCCUGACUAAGGCAGUGAAACCCUGUCUCUACUAAAAAUACAAAAAUUAGCCAGGCAUGGUGGCGCAUGCCUGUAAUCCCAGCUACUUGGGAGGCUGAGGCAGGAGAAUCACUUGAACCAGGGAGGUGGAGAUUGCAGUGAGCCAAGACUGCACCAUUGCAUUCCAGCCUGGGUGACAAGAGCAAAACUCCAUCUCAAAAAAAAAAAAAAAAAAAAAAAAAAAAAAAAAAAAAGACUUUUCUCUCAUUCAACACUUUACCAGCAUCUACUGACAGAAAAUGGACAAUUGAAUUUCCUCCAAUAUAUAUACCUCUGAUAUGUCUGCUUUGUAAAAGAGUAGUGUAAUUGCUUACAACAUUGAAAAGGUUGUUAUUGGGGUCCUGGGGUAGCCAGGAUAUCGGCAUGAUUUGUCACCAUAUUCAGAAUAAAACUGUACUGCAAUAGUGAGUUAAUUCCAUAUCUUGGCCAACAGAGAAUUUUUGGCCAGUGGCUACUAAGGCACACGGAAGUCCAGUCUAAAAGGGACAGGGGAGGACUCUUUGUAGAUAGUUCUUAUGAUUAAAAAAUAACUUCCUAUGUGUUGUAGUGAUGAUUAAGCUGACAGAAUGCUAAAGACACCCUUAAUGAUUACUUGUAGCAAAGUACUUCCCCACAUUUAGCUGGAUUUGUCUUUGGUUUGAAGAGGCUAAUA